UUCUUCCUGGUGUAGUGGCUAACACCUUCACCUUCUAACUUGGUGAAAAGUUAGGAGGUCUGGUGUUCGAAUCCCCUGGGCGGAU